GACGAACGCUGGCGGCAUGCCUAACACAUGCAAGUCGAGCGAGAACGUCGGGUCUAGGGGCGCACGGGUGCAUAAGGCGAGGGGACCUGAACGUGGGGUGGGAAUAACUCCCAGAAGGGGGUGCUAAUACGGGAUGAUGGCUAAUGACCCAUGAUUUAUCGACUUUGUAGGGGCCCGCGUGAGAUAAGCUAGUGGGUAGCGUAAAAGCCUACCAAGGCGACGUUACAUAGCUGGUCUGGGAGCACGGCCCGACACCCUGGGACUGGGACCCGGCGCAGACCCUCGCGGGAGGCAGCAGGGCGGAACGUUGGACACCGGGCGAAAGCCUGAUGCUGCCAGGUCGCGUGAGUGUUGAAGUCCUUAGGGUUGUAAAUCUCUGUUAACAGCGCUGAUAAUGACAGUACCGGGAGAAUAAGCGCCGGCUAACUCCGUG
rnacentral:rRNA from 1 species